AUUGAACGCUGGCGGCAGGCUUAACAAAUGCAAGUCGAGCGAGCGGCGGACGGGUGAGUAAUGUCUGGGAAACUGCCUGAUGGAGGGGGAUAACUACUGGAAACGGUAGCUAAUACCGCAUACCAUCAGAUGUGCCAAGAUGGGAUUAGCUAGUAGGUGGGGUAAUGGCUCACAUAGGCGACGAUCCCGAGCUGGUCUGAGAGGAUGACCAGCCACACUGGAACUGAGACACGGUCCCGACGCCUACGGGAGUCAGCAGUGGGGAAUAUUGCACAAUGGGCGCAAGCCUGAUGCAGCCAGGCCGAGUGUGUGAAGAAGGCCUUCGGGUUGUAAAGCACUUUCAGCGAGGAGGCGUUACUCGCAGAAGAAGCACCGGCUAACUCCGUGCCAGCAGCCGCGGUAAUAC
rnacentral:rRNA from 1 species